rnacentral:rRNA from 1 species
GCUUGCUUCAAUUGCCGGCGACCGGCGCACGGGUGAGUAACGCGUAUCCAACCUUCCGUACACUCAGGGAUAGCCUUUCGAAAGAAAGAUUAAUACCUGAUGGUAUGAUGAGAUCGCAUGAUAGCAUCAUUAAAGAUUUAUCGGUGUACGAUGGGGAUGCGUUCCAUUAGGUAGUAGGCGGGGUAACGGCCCACCUAGCCAACGAUGGAUAGGGGUUCUGAGAGGAAGGUCCCCCACAUUGGAACUGAGACACGGUCCAAACUCCUACGGGAGGCAGCAGUGAGGAAUAUUGGUCAAUGGACGAGAGUCUGAACCAGCCAAGUAGCGUGAAGGAUGAAGGUCUUACGGAUUGUAAACUUCUUUUAUAAGGGAAUAAAACCUCCCACGUGUGGGAGCUUGUAUGUACCUUAUGAAUAAGCAUCGGCUAACUCCGUGCCAGCAGCCGCGGUAAUACGGAGGAUGCGAGCGUUAUCCGGAUUUAUUGGGUUUAAAGGGAGCGCAGACGGGUCGUUAAGUCAGCUGUGAAAGUUUGGGGCUCAACCUUAAAAUUGCAGUUGAUACUGGCGUCCUUGAGUGCGGUUGAGGUGUGCGGAAUUCGUGGUGUAGCGGUGAAAUGCUUAGAUAUCACGAAGAACUCCGAUUGCGAAGGCAGCACACUAAGCCGUAACUGACGUUCAUGCUCGAAAGUGUGGGUAUCAAACAGGAUUAGAUACCCUGGUAGUCCACACGGUAAACGAUGGAUACUCGCUGUUGGCGAUAUACGGUCAGCGGCUUAGCGAAAGCGUUAAGUAUCCCACCUGGGGAGUACGCCGGCAACGGUGAAACUCAAAGGAAUUGACGGGGGCCCGCACAAGCGGAGGAACAUGUGGUUUAAUUCGAUGAUACGCGAGGAACCUUACCC